CUCUCUGAAUGACAAACUGUCAGUGUGAAUGAUUGAUUGAAUUGCUUUUGACUGGAUGAAUUUUAGACUCAAGCAUCAGAUAGCCAUAUGAUGCACUGUGUGAAUAACAGGAUUACUGAAUGAAUAACUCACAAAACAACCAGUCAAGAGACUUGAGUGGAUUGAAUGUGUGAGUCAAUGACUCCCUAGCUGAUAUAGAAAUGACGGACACACUGGGUGGCUGAUUGACUGGUUUAUUACCAUACUAUAUGACUGAGAUUGAUUGACUGACUGUCUGACUGAUGUAUCAAUUUUUCAAACUGACUGAAUGUCUAACUCACUCACUGACUGACUAAUAAACCAACUGAUUGAUUGAAUUAUUGAGGGACAGUCAAGAUACUCUAAUGACUGAUUGACCAAACAAACAACUUGUGAAUGAACUGGCUACUGAAAUAAUUAACUUACUUACUAACUGACUGACUCACUGGCCAAUCAACUGACUGAUUGUCUGACUGACUUAUUGAGGGAUGGAAUCACUGACUCAUUGAAAACUAGUGGACUGAUUGGUUGGCUAUACGACUUGCUGCUGGAUGGAAUAAUGCACUGAUUGUUUCACUGACUUGUAAACUGAAUCGCUGACUAAAUGAGUGACUGACUGAAGAACUGACUUGCUGAUCUAGUAACUGACUUACCAACCGACUUGAUGGCUGGUUGUCUGAGUUACUGAAAAGAGGCACUGACUGUAUAGUUGAUCAACCUGUUGACUGUUAGGAUAAGUAGAUGACAGAAUGAGUGACCAACUUUUAAGAUCAAUGGAGGGACUAGUGGACUGAGUGACUAACUAACUGAGUGAGUGACAGACACAUUGAUUUGCUGCUAAUCGAUUAACAAGAUGAUUGACUGGUGGACCGGCUGGUUUUCUGAAUGACUGAAUGAAUGAUUGCCUAUUUACUGAACUGGCCAGAUGAUUGUCUCUAUGACUGACUGAGUGAUAGAAACACUGGCCAGAUGAUUGUCUUUAUGACUGACUGAGUGAUAGAAACACUGGCUAGCUGAUUAGCAGUUGACUGACUUUUGGACUGGCUGGCUGAAUGAUGAAUGACAGAAGUAAAGACUACAUAACUGGUUGAAUGACUAGCUGGCUGACUGAACAGGUCUUUGACUGAUUGAGUGACCAAGCGAUUAGCUGAGAACAUAGAACUCACGGCAAUAUUGAAAUGUCUUUUUCUUUGUCAACACUUGAUCACAAUUUUGACAAAAAUCACCAACCCAUCACUUUUAUAUAAUUUCAAGAAAUUAUUUGAAGAGCAGUGGAUUGAUGUAGUGACAUGAGUGAACCUGAAAACUAGACCAAUAAGAAAUGCUUUGAAGAUCAAUUUAUAUGUUAAGCUGAAUCCUCAUGCAUUUUGAUUGAUUCUUACUGAUGAUCCACUGGGAGACAGACGCAUAGAUGACGUCACUAUUGAUAACAUUUUAGUUUUUUUAUGAUAGAAAAAUGUGGGAAGAAUAUCAGUGACACGCCCGGCUGCGCCUUGUGUGCCACUUUUUUGUUCUUACCACAUUUUGACAUCAUCUGUGAUUUAUUACUGAAUGGAAACUGGGAAUAAAUUUGUUGGGUGGAUUCUUAUUUGGGAUUUUUUAUGGGAUUUGAUUACCUGAACAGGGUUGUUGGGGUAGUGACAUGGAGUACAGUGCAAGACAAAGGUAACAUUGAGAAAUGAUUUUUUUUUUCCAAUGGCUCCACCUCUUUAUUGUUGUUUAUUUCCCUGCUGUCGAGAUACUGCAACAUUGUCGUAUGCUGUGCUAUCAAAUGUUUGUUUUUCUCAUUAUUUCAUUGCAGACGAACAAUUGUUCUCCGAAGACAUCAAGGAAUUGUCGGUGACGUCAACGUGGAUUUAAAGUUACAAGUUGAUAGUGUUGAUAUCCUGAGUACAGAUGAAAAAUUUUUUUAGUGUACUUUCUUGGGGGAGUUUUUGGUGAUGUCGACGUGGAUUGAAAGUUUCAAGCUCAUAGAGUUGGUGUUGUGAUUACAGUAUUGAGAACUUCAAGGAACAUAGACGUUAGUUUCCAGCCAGGAAGUCGAGAAAGAGUUGUAAAUUUACUCAGAUAGCUUUUGCACCGCUCGUACAUUAGAGUAGGAAACUGGUUUAGUACAUUAUG